UUUCUUCCUAUCUUUCAAUCUUGAGGAUCUUGAGUAUUAUGGAACCUCCUCUAAGUUGAUUUCAGCCCAUUGGACCCUUGGAGCCCAGUAAAAGACACUUGUACUUGCUGAUUGAUAUAUGGCUGAGGAUAAAAUUAUAUUUUUGCUCAGGUACUACGCGUAAUGGGCUGGAAGCUCUUGAAUAUUAGAUAAAGGGUCUUGAAAACUCGUAAUACUUAAAGCUUGUUGAACAAAGAUUCACUAUCUGUUUUAGAUCCGCCCGUGGAUCUACUUACAACCGUUGUGUAAUAUUUUAUUAUACUUUCAAUCCGUUUUGUAAUAUUAUU
rnacentral:lncRNA from 1 species